UCUUUCCUGUUGAAACCCUCAAGAAAAACUCACCUUUUUUAUUAGUCUUUGUUUGUUUUGCUGGCUGUUGUUGUCGAAGCUUGGGUACGGAGGAUAAUCCUUGGAGGACACAAAUUGUUUUAUUCUAUUUAAAGUUUAUUUCUUUUUGGCUUGCUUGAUUUCACUAAAUUUUUGUAACGUUAUGUAUGGUUGAUGAUGUGUGUGAUUGCUUA